rnacentral:rRNA from 1 species
AUUGAACGCUGGCGGCAGGCCUAACACAUGCAAGUCGAACGAGUGGCGGACGGGUGAGUAAUGUCUGGGAAACUGCCUGAUGGAGGGGGAUAACUACUGGAAAGGGUGGCUAAUACCGAAUACAUUCAGAUUUGCCCGGAUGGGAUUGUCUAGUUGGUGGGGUAACGGCUCACCAAGGCGACGAUCCCUAGCGGGUCUGAGAGGAUGACCAGCCACACUGGAACUGAGACACGGUCCAGACUCCUACGGGAGGCAGCAGUGGGGAAUAUUGCACAAUGGGCGCAAGCCUGAUGCAGCCAUGCCGCGUGUAUGAAGAAGGCCUUCGGGUUGUAAAGUACUUUCAGCGGGGAGGCGUUACCCGCAGAAGAAGCACCGGCUAACUCCGUGCCAGCAGCCGCGGUAAUAC